UGGGUAACGGGCUGGAAAACCUCCAAGUUGAGAGGCUGUGGCUUUUUCCCAAAUCAGAAAGCAAGCUGAGGGUGUGCCUGUUUCCAGCUUCUGGCCGGAGGCUCUGCUUCCCAGCCUAUCAGAAUGGCCACCCUGCAGGAUACAACCCUUUAGGAGAAAUAAAGCUCUCCUUUCCAAAUGCAUGAACCUUGUCAUUCUUCAGCUGACGGCACUAUUUUCCACUGUCUUCCUCUUCCCUGGGUUGCUCAAGUUCACACAGAUGUGUCCUCACCAGGACCUCACAGUCAAAGAGACUUUUCUGUCUUUCUGUGUCAGUUUGAUGGGAGACCAGAUUCCAACCACUAGACACGGCUGCGUCCCUGAAGGCCCGGCUGCUGCAGGCCUCCCUCGAUCUGGCCAGGAAUGACUCCUUUCCUCCUCUAUUGCUAUCAGGAGAGGCAGGUCCUGCAACCUUUUUGACCAAUAGAAGUUGGCAGAAGCAGGAGCACACACGGGCGGGCUUGUGAGUGAAGCCUUCUUGGCCUCCCAGCCAAGCCCAGGCACCAGCUGAAUGCAGCCGAGUGAAUUAUCCCAGCCAACCUGCGUGAAGCAGAAGAAACAUCAUCCCAAAUUCUAGCCCCAGAAAAUCAAGAACAAAUAAAACCAUGGUUGUUUGAAUCUGCUACAUUUUGAGAUUGAUUUUUUGUUUUGUUUUGUUUUUCAGAUGGAGUUUCGCUCUUGUUACCUGGGCUGGAGUGCAAUGGCGUGAUCUUGGCUCACCACAACCUCUG
rnacentral:lncRNA from 1 species